rnacentral:rRNA from 1 species
GGAGUUAGCCGGUGCUUCUUCUGUGGGUGAUGUCGUCCCUGCCGGCUAUUAACCCGCAGGCCUUCUUCCCCACUGAAAGUGCUUUACAACCCGAAAGCCUUCUUCACACACGCGGCAUGGCUGGAUCAGGGUUGCCCCCAUUGUCCAAUAUUCCCCACUGCUGCCUCCCGUAGGAGUCUGGGCCGUGUCUCAGUCCCAGUGUGGCUGAUCAUCCUCUCAGACCAGCUACGGAUCGUCGCCUUGGUGAGCCGUUACCUCACCAACCAGCUAAUCCGACAUAGGCUCAUCCGAUAGCGCGAGGCCCGAAGGUCCCCCGCUUUCUCCCGUAGGACGUAUGCGGUAUUAGCCUGGGUUUCCCCAGGUUAUCCCCCACUACCGGGCAGAUUCCUAUGCAUUACUCACCCGUCCGCCGCUCGACGCCUCCUAGCAAGCUAGGAUCGUUUCCGCUCGACUUGCAUGUGUUAGGCCUGCCGCCAGCGUUCAAUCUGAGCCAGGAUCAAACUCUGA